AUUGAACGCUGGCGGCAGGCCUAACACAUGCAAGUCGAACGAGUGGCGGACGGGUGAGUAAUGUCUGGGAAACUGCCUGAUGGAGGGGGAUAACUACUGGCAACGGUAGCUAAUACCGCAUACCAUCAGAUGUGCCCAGAUGGGAUUAGCUUGUUGGUGGGGUAACGGCGCACCAAGGCGACGAUCCCUAGCUGGUCUGAGAGGAUGACCAGACAACAUGGAACUGAGAGACGGUCCAGACGCCUACGGGAGGCAGCAGUGGGGAAUAUUGAACAAUGGGCGAAAGCCUGAUGCAGCCAUGCCGCGUGUAUGAAGAAGGCGUUCGGGUUGUAAAGUACUGUCAGCGGGGAUGCGUUACCCGCAGAGGAAGCACCGGCUAACUCCGUGCCAGCAGCGGCGGUAAUAC
rnacentral:rRNA from 1 species